rnacentral:rRNA from 1 species
GGAUCCAGACUUUGAUUAUGGCUCAGGAUGAACGCUAGCUACAGGCUUAACACAUGCAAGUCGAGGGGAAACGACAUCGAAAGCUUGCUUUUGAUGGGCGUCGACCGGCGCACGGGUGAGUAACGCGUAUCCAACCUGCCCAUCACUUGGGGAUAACCUUGCGAAAGUAAGACUAAUACCCAAUGACAUCCAUAGAAGACAUCUGAAAUGGAUUAAAGAUUUAUCGGUGAUGGAUGGGGAUGCGUCUGAUUAGCUUGUUGGCGGGGUAACGGCCCACCAAGGCGACGAUCAGUAGGGGUUCUGAGAGGAAGGUCCCCCACAUUGGAACUGAGACACGGUUCAAACUCCUACGGGAGGCAGCAGUGAGGAAUAUUGGUCAAUGGGCGAGAGCCUGAACCAGCCAAGUAGCGUGCAGGAUGACGGCCCUAUGGGUUGUAAACUGCUUUUAUAAGGGAAUAAAGUGAGUCUCGUGAGACUUUUUGCAUGUACCUUAUGAAUAAGGACCGGCUAAUUCCGUGCCAGCAGCCGCGGUAAUACGGAAGGUCCGGGCGUUAUCCGGAUUUAUUGGGUUUAAAGGGAGCGUAGGCCGGAGAUUAAGCGUGUUGUGAAAUGUAGAGGCUCAACCUCCGCACUGCAGCGCGAACUGGUCUUCUUGAGUACGCACAACGUGGGCGGAAUUCGUGGUGUAGCGGUGAAAUGCUUAGAUAUCACGAAGAACUCCGAUUGCGAAGGCAGCUCACGGGAGCGCAACUGACGCUGAAGCUCGAAAGUGCGGGUAUCGAACAGGAUUAGAUACCCUGGUAGUCCGCACGGUAAACGAUGGAUGCCCGCUGUUGGCCUGAAUAGGUCAGCGGCCAAGCGAAAGCAUUAAGCAUCCCACCUGGGGAGUACGCCGGCAACGGUGCAACUCAAAGGAAUUGACGG